rnacentral:rRNA from 1 species
GACGAACGCUGGCGGCGUGCCUAAUACAUGCAAGUAGAACGCACAGUUUAUACCGUAGCUUGCUACACCAUAGACUGUGAGUUGCGAACGGGUGAGUAACGCGUAGGUAACCUGCCUGGUAGCGGGGGAUAACUAUUGGAAACGAUAGCUAAUACCGCAUAAUAUUGAUUAUUGCAUGAUAAUUGAUUGAAAGAUGCUAUUGCAUCACUACCAGAUGGACCUGCGUUGUAUUAGCUAGUAGGUGAGGUAACGGCUCACCUAGGCGACGAUACAUAGCCGACCUGAGAGGGUGAUCGGCCACACUGGGACUGAGACACGGCCCAGACUCCUACGGGAGGCAGCAGUAGGGAAUCUUCGGCAAUGGACGAAAGUCCGACCGAGCAACGCCGCGUGAGUGAAGAAGGUUUUCGGAUCGUAAAGCUCUGUUGUAAGAGAAAAACGGGUGUGAGAGUGGAAAGUUCACACUGUGACGGUAUCUUACCAGAAAGGGACGGCUAACUACGUG